UUAUGAUUCCCAUACAGUUGAGGAAACUGAGACAGACAGAAGAUUUAAGAUGGCUUAUGGCAAGAAAUAAAGGGGCCAAGACAUCCAAGAGACUCUUAUAACCAUCAUAAUUACAACAAUAUAUUGCCAAAACAACAUACAUCUUUAAGACUGUCCUAGAGAUAAUUUUUAGUAAAACAAGAAUAUACAAUUAAUUGGUAUAGCUAUCGCUACGUAAAUUUCAAAAGUGAUAUUCAACAAAGUCACCUUUGAAAUAAGAGACUUAUACCUCUAGUAAUCAUUCAAUGAUGGCAGAGGGGAAAAUAUCUUUUCUGGCAAGGUUUUUGAAGCCUAUGUCAUCAGUGAUAAAGCUGGAAAUCUGCCUUUUCAACAUCAUAUUAUUGGGAAAAAAAUCUUCAAUUUAAUCAAAGCUUUAAAACUUUUCCAAGCAUAUGUGUCUGAACAAUUGUUAAAAUAUAUGAUAAGUCUUUUGCA